GCUUGCUUCGGCAUUGCAUAUGCUAAAAUUAGAAUGAUAAAGAGAAGAUUAGCAUGGCCCCUGCACAAGAAUGACACGCAAAUUCAUGAAGCAUUCCAUAUUUAA